rnacentral:rRNA from 1 species
UGNCAGGCGAUACGGGCAUAACUAGAGUGCUGUAGGGGAGACUGGAAUUCNUGGUGUAGCGGUGGAAUGCGCAGAUAUCAGGAGGAACACCGAUGGCGAAGGCAGGUCUCUGGGCAGUAACUGACGCUGAGGAGCGAAAGCAUGGGGAGCGAACAGGAUUAGAUACCCCGGUAGUCCAUGCUGUAAACGGUGGGCGUUAGGUGUGGGGACUGUUUUUGGUUUCUGUGCCGUAGCUAACGCAUUAAGCGCCCCGCCUGGGGAGUACGGCCGCAAGGCUAAAACUCAAAGGAAUUGACGGGGGCCCGCACAAGCGGCGGAGCAUGUGGAUUAAUUCGAUGCAACGCGAAGAACCUUACCUGGGUUUGACAUGCACCAGACGGUUGUAGAGAUACGUACCUCCCUUUGUGGUUGGUGUGCAGGUGGUGCAUGGUUGCCGUCAGCUCGUGUCGUGAGAUGUUGGGUUAAGUCCCGCANNNNNNNNNNNNNCCUUGUCUUAUGUUGCCAGCACGUUUGGGUGGGGACUCAUGAGAGACUGCCGGGGUUAACUCGGAGGAAGGUGGGGAUGACGUCAAAUCAUCAUGCCCUUUAUGCCCAGGGCUUCACACAUGCUACAAUGGUUAGUACAACGCGCGGCAAGCCUGUGAGGGUGAGCGAAUCGCUGAAAGCUAAUCUCAGUUCGGAUUGGGUCUGCAACUCGACCCC